AGGUUCCAAUUAAAAACGUGUUUGGGCCAUUGCGUUACUGCUACCAGUGCUUAAUCUUCACCGAGAGCCUCAUCAUUUAUUCUAAAACAAAAGAAGAACGAGGUCUGCCUUAUCCGUGCGCUCGCCAAUCGCUGUUGUGCUGACCACUAUUGACGGGAGUCUCAGACUGCAUUUCUUCAGAAACAAGCACUGCAUCUGCUAGACUUAACUGGGUGGACAGUGCUCACUUUGGGAGUCUGGAGUCAUAAUUCUUGCCACCGAU